UGUCGUAUUAUAGUGUUAAGGGUUUAAGAUCAACUGUUUAGUGUCUAAGGUGUUGUUGUUGGGUUUAAGGUUUACUAUAUUGAUUUAGGGUUUAGUGUAUUUUAUUUAGGGUUUAACGCUUAUGAUUUAGUUAGGAUUUAAGAUUUAUUAUUUAGCUAGGGUUUAGGGUUUACGAUUUUGGGUUUAGUAUUUAGAAUUUAAAGUUUAAGGUUUAAAAUUUGGUAAGGUUUUAGGGUUUACUAUUUUGGGUUUUGGGUUUAGUUUUAUGACAUUGAAGUAUAAAUUAUUUUAGAUAGCCAACCAACAAUUUUACUAGAUGGUAAAUUAUGACGAUAAUAACUUUUUUAGAAUUUUAGCCAUACAAUUUUAAUAGUUUACUCCCUACUUAUAGAUGCUUAGUUUCGAAAACAAUACAAAUUAUUCACACGAAUUAUUGUAU
rnacentral:lncRNA from 1 species